UUCUGGCUGGCUCAGUUAGUAGAGCAUGGGACUCUUGAUCUCAGGGUUGUGAGUUCAAGUCCCAUGUUGGGUG
rnacentral:tRNA from 1 species